UACGAAGGUUGCAAGCGUUGUUCGGAAUCACUGGGCUUAAAGCGUAUGUAGGCGGAUGAGUAAGCGUUUUGUGAAAUCCCUCGGCUUAACCGGGGAAUUGCUUGGCGAACUGCUCAUCUUGAGGCAAAUAGGGGUACAUGGAACUCUUGGUGGAGCGGUGGAAUGCGUAGAUAUCAAGAGGAACGCCAGCGGCGAAAGCGGUGUACUGGAUUUGUCCUGACGCUCAGAUACGAAAGCGUGGGGAGCAAACGGGAUUAGAUACCCCGGUAGUCCACGCCCUAAACGAUGCCUACUAGGUUGUAGAAGCUCUGACGCUUUUACGGCCGAAGCAAAAGUGUUAAGUAGGCCGCCUGGGAAGUACGGUCGCAAGGCUAAA
rnacentral:rRNA from 1 species